AACGAACGCUGGCGGCAGGCCUAAUACAUGCAAGUCGAACGGUCCGCUUCGGCGGAUAGUGGCGCACGGGUGCGUAACACGUAUGCAACCUACCUUACAUUGGGGGAUAGCCUUUCGAAAGGGAGAUUAGUACCGCAUAAGACAGUAGCUGGGCAUCCAGUAGCUGUUAAAGAUUUAUCGAUGUAAGCUGGGCAUGCGUCCAAUUAGUCAGUUGGUGAGGUAACGGCUCACCAAGACGAUGAUUGGUAGGGGAACUGAGAGGUCAAUCCCCCACACUGGCACUGAGAUACGGGCCAGACUCCUACGGGAGGUAGCAGUAGGGAAUAUUGGGCAAUGGACGCAAGUCUGACCCAGCCAUGCCGCGUGCAGGAAGAAGGCGUUCUGCGUUGUAAACUGCUUUUAUAUAGGAAGAAACGACCCUUGCGAGGGGCAUUGACGGUAUUAUAUGAAUAAGCACCGGCUAACUCCGUGCCAGCCGCCGCCGUAACAC
rnacentral:rRNA from 1 species